rnacentral:misc_RNA from 1 species
CUUCAGCUCUUCUCUCUCCCUCUUCAAUUUUAAAACCCGCUAGGAAAGCAGAAGCAGGGAGCAUAUAGAAAAAGCAGAACAGAUCCCUGAAUAACCACCAUUAGCGGUCAAUAGAACAGCACCGAAGCAGUCACCACCGCUACCUUGAGAGGAUGUUCAAAAUCUUCAACAGAGGAAAAGAAACUGCCAGCGAUUUCUCACCGCAAUCAUCGCCGUCUCCUUCCUCGUCGAUGUCGCCGUCUCAUGUGACUGGACCGCCGAGGCCUAUCAAUUUGGUGUACCGCGACAGGGAUGGGAAGUUCCGGAUGGAUCCGGAAGCAGUUGCCACGCUUCAGCUGGUUAAGGAACCAAUCGGUGUCGUUUCGGUUUGUGGUCGCUCUCGUCAGGGCAAAAGCUUCAUUUUGAAUCAGCUUCUUGGGAAGAGUAGCGGAUUUCAGGUAGCACCAACUCAUCGACCGUGUACAAAAGGACUUUGGUUGUGGAGUGCACCCAUAAAGAGAACAGCUCUUGAUGGAACUGAGUACAAUCUUUUACUAUUAGAUAGCGAAGGAAUAGAUGCUUAUGAUCAAACAGGGACUUACAGCACUCAAAUAUUCUCCUUAGCUGUUCUCUUAUCUAGCA